rnacentral:rRNA from 1 species
UACGUAGGGUGCAAGCGUUAAUCGGAAUUACUGGGCGUAAAGCGUGCGUAGACGGUUAUUUCAGUCAGGUGUGAAAGCCCCGGGCUCAACCUGGGAAUUGCAUUUGAGACUGAAUAGCUAGGGUGCGGAAGAGGGAAGCGGAAUUUCCGGUGUAGCGGUGAAAUGCGUAGAUAUCGGAAGGAACACCAGUGGCGAAAGCGGCUUCCUGGUCCAGCACCGACGUUCAGGCACGAAAGCGUGGGGAGCAAACAGG